GUGAGGAUGGAGAAGGAUUAUGGGUUGAUAUGGAUUGAUAUCAAUAUUAACCCAUAAUCGAUAUUCGCAUUGAUACGCGAUGUAAUGGUACGUUCUUUAUGGAUGAUCCAAAUUUGAAUUUGGACCUCUUCGGUCAAUCUGUUGCUGAUGACAGCGAAGAUGAUGUACAACAAGAUCACCAAGAAGAAGAGGGGAAUGAAUCAGGCCCCGGUGUACGUGGUAAAUAUAUUGGUAGAGAGAUGAUAAAGAUGAGGAGCGACGGGAAGAAGAAGGAAGUCGAGUACAACUCAUGGGGUCAAGCUAUUAGUGAUGGUGCAGACAAACUUCAUAGUGAGAUUGGUAAAUAUCGUCGCCACCACGUUACAUUGCUUGUGGAUGAUUGGCGACUUAUAUCGAAAGAAGUGAAAGAUAAGUUGUGGAAUGAAAUGCUGGUAAUUUUUUAUUCAACUAUAGUAAAUUAAAUUAAUUACAUUUGUUAAUCUUUAA